rnacentral:tRNA from 2 species
GCCCUGGUGGUCUAGUGGUUAAGAUUUGGUACUCUCACUGCUACAGCCCAGGUUCAACUCCUGGUCAGGGAA